UACGUAGGGUGCAAGCGUUGUCCGGAAUUAUUGGGCGUAAAGGGCUCGUAGGCGGCCAACUAAGUCAGACGUGAAAUCCCUCGGCUUAACCGGGGAACUGCGUCUGAUACUGGAUGGCUAGAGGUUGGGAGAGGGAUGCGGAAUUCCAGGUGUAGCGGUGAAAUGCGUAGAUAUCUGGAGGAACACCGGUGGCGAAGGCGGCAUCCUGGACCAAUUCUGACGCUGAUGAGCGAAAGCCAGGGGAGCAAACGGG
rnacentral:rRNA from 1 species